AAAGGCUAGGACAAUGGCGGGCUAGUGAAUUGUGUCAGAUCCGGAAGGAAGCAGCACUAAGCAAGUGCCGCCAUGUGUCUGAAUUAUAGUUGAUAUA
rnacentral:SRP_RNA from 2 species